CCUACGGGAGGCAGCAGUGGGGAAUAUUGCACAAUGGGCGCAAGCCUGAUGCAGCCAUGCCGCGUGUGUGAAGAAGGCCUUCGGGUUGUAAAGCACUUUCAGCGGGGAGGAAGGCGGUGAGGUUAAUAACCUCAUCGAUUGACGUUACCCGCAGAAGAAGCACCGGCUAACUCCGUGCCAGCAGCCGCGGUAAUACGGAGGGUGCAAGCGUUAAUCGGAAUUACUGGGCGUAAAGCGCACGCAGGCGGUCUGUCAAGUCGGAUGUGAAAUCCCCGGGCUCAACCUGGGAACUGCAUUCGAAACUGGCAGGCUAGAGUCUUGUAGAGGGGGGUAGAAUUCCAGGUGUAGCGGUGAAAUGCGUAGAGAUCUGGAGGAAUACCGGUGGCGAGGGCGGCCCCCUGGACAAAGACUGACGCUCAGGUGCGAAAGCGUGGGGAGCAAACAGGAGUAGAUACCCUAGUAGUC
rnacentral:rRNA from 1 species